rnacentral:sRNA from 1 species
ACUUACCUUUUGUUGCCUCGGCAGAGGUUACCUGGUACCUGGAGACAGGUUACCCUGUAGCAACUGCCGGUGGACUACUAAACUCUUGUUAUUUUAUGUAAUCUGAGCGUCUUAUUUUAAUAAGUCAAAACUUUCAACAACGGAUCUCUUGGUUCUGGCAUCGAUGAAGAACGCAGCGAAAUGCGAUAAGUAAUGUGAAUUGCAAAAUUCAGUGAAUCAUCGAAUCUUUGAACGCACAUUGCGCCCAUUAGUAUUCUAGUGGGCAUGCCUGUUCGAGCGUCAUUUCAACCCUUAAGCCUAGCUUAUUGUUGGGAAUUUACAGUUAUGUAAUUCCUGAAAUACAACGGCGGAUCUGUGGUAUCCUCUGAGCGUAGUAAAUUAUUUCUCGCUUUUGUUAGGUGCUGCAGCUCCCAACCGCUAAACCCCCAAUUUUUUGUGGCGGCGAGUGAAGCGGCAACAGCUCAAAUUUGAAAUCUGGCCCUUGGGUCCGAAUUGUAAUUUGUAGAGGAUGAUUUUGGUGCGGUAUCUUCCGAGUUCCUUGGAACAGGACGCCUUAGAGGGUGAGAGCCCCGUACGGUUGAAUGCCUAGCCUCUGUAAAUCUCCUUCGACGAGUCGAGUAGUUUGGGAAUGCUGCUCUAAAUGGGAGGUAAAUUUCUUCUAAAGCUAAAUAUUGGCCAGAGACCGAUAGCGCACAAGUAGAGUGAUCGAAAGAUGAAAAGCACUUUGAAAAGAGGGUUAAAUAGCACGUGAAAUUGUUGAAAGGGAAGGAUUUGUGACCAGACUUUUUCUGGGCGGAUCAUCCGGGGUUCUCUCCGGUGCACUUUGCCCAGUAAAGGCCAGCAUCGGUUUUCGGCGGGGGAUAAAAGCAGUAGGAAUGUGGCUCUCUACGGGGAGUGUUAUAGCCUAUUGUAUAAUACCCUGCUGGGGACCGAGGUACGCGCUUCUGCAAGGAUGCUGGCGUAAUGGUUAUCAAUCACCCGUCUUGAAACACGGACCAAGGAGUCGAACAUUUGUGCGAGUGUUUGGGUGUUAAACCCUCACGCGUAAUGAAAGUGAACGGAGGUGAGAGCCCUUACGGGUGCAUCAUCGACCGAUCCUGAAGUUUUCGGAUGGAUUUGAGUAAGAGCAUA